GCUUGUCCGCUGACAGGAGCAGAGGGUAGACGGAGUGGGGAAGUGUUAGCCUGAUUUGUUGGGUUUAAAGGGUCCGUAGGCGUAAUUGUAAGUCAGUGGUGAAAGGUCAUAGUGUAACUAGGAAACUGCCAUGGAGACUGGAGGGUGUGAGGAAAUGUGAAGUGGCUGGAAUAAGUAGUGUAUCGGUGAAAUGCAUAGAUAUUACUUAGAACAGCAAUUGCGAAGGCAGGUCACUAAGAUUUAACUGACGCUGAUGGACGAAAGCGUGGGUAGCGAACAGGAUUAGAUACCCCGGUAGUC
rnacentral:rRNA from 1 species